UAACUCUUUUGUAAAUUAAAAAAAAAGAGUUAAAUAAUCAGUUUUACUUUAAUAAUAUAAAAGUUUUAUUUUGGCUUAUUAAUUUAUUAUAAAAUUGUUAUACAUGUAUUUAAAUUUUUUUUAUUUGUGAGACAGUAUUUUAUAUUAUACAACCUAUGUGGGUAUAGAAUUUUUUUUUAAAGGAAAUUGAAUAAAUGUGUGCCAGCAUUCGCGGUUACACCCAUAAAUUUUAUUAAAUUUGUUUGGUGAAAAUUAAGUUUUAGGUUUUAGAUUAAAAAUAUUAUAGCCCAGGUAAAAUUGUGUAUAAUUUAUAAAGAUUGUUAAAAAACUUUAAAUGAAAUUAGUCAAAUAACCUGGAUUAGAUACCCAGUUAUUCUAAUAAAAAUUAUUUACCUAAGUAGUAAAUUUUUUUAAACUUAAAGAAUUUGGCGGUAUUUUUUACUUAUUAGAGGAACCUGUUGAGUAAUUGAUAGCCCACGAUAGACUUUACUAAUCUAAAUAUUUAUAUAUCAUUGUUAAAAGAGAGAACUAAAAAAGUUUUUUCUUAGAUUUAUAGAAUAUUCUGACAAAUCAAGGUGUAAUGAAUGGGUUUGUUUAAAUGGGUUACAUAAAUUUAAAAUUAUGGGGUAUAAAUUGAAAUUUUUAAUUAAAUAGGAUUUAUAAGUAAAAUUUAAAAAUUAUAGAGUUUGAUUAUGUACUAAAAUAUGCACACAUCGCCCGUCGCUCUCUUUUAUAGAGAUAAGUCGUAACAAAGUAGGACUACUGGAAGGAGGUUCUUGUUAG
rnacentral:ncRNA from 1 species